UACGUAGGGUGCAAGCGUUGUCCGGAAUUAUUGGGCGUAAAGAGCUCGUAGGCGGUCUGUCGCGUCGGCUGUGAAAUCCCGAGGCUCAACCUCGGGUCUGCAGUCGAUACGGGCAAACUAGAGUAUUGCAGGGGAGACUGGAAUUCCUGGUGUAGCGGUGAAAUGCGCAGAUAUCAGGAGGAACACCAAUGGCGAAGGCAGAUCUCUGGGCCGUAACUGACGCUGAGGAGCGAAAGCAUGGGGGAGCGAACAGG
rnacentral:rRNA from 1 species